ACGCUCGACACCUACGGGAGGCAGCAGUAGGGAAUUUUCGGCAAUGGGGGGAACCCUGACCGAGCAACGCCGCGUGAAGGAAGAAGGAAUUCGUUCUGUAAACUUCUGUUAUAAAGGAAGAACGGCGGAUAUAGGGAAUGAUAUCCGAGUGACGGUACUUUAUGAGAAAGCCACGGCUAACUACGUGCAAGCAGCCGCGGUAAUCUGAGCGGGCUGGCAAGGC
rnacentral:rRNA from 1 species